rnacentral:snRNA from 1 species
GGAUGUGAGGGCGAUCUGGCUGUGACAUCUGUCACCCCACUGAUCUCCAGAGUUGAUUCGACUGGUCUGACUGGCUAGGCAGACGUCCCCUUCCUCUCUCACUGCUCCAUGUGUGUACCUUGGUCAAAGAGGAAGUCCUCCUCUGAAUAGAGGGGGACCCGUCUACAUCAAAGGUAUAUGAGCAGCUGUGCUUCCGUGCUAGCACCUCCAAACGAGCUCUCAAGAAAGGGGAUUCAAGCCGGGAGUGGUGGCGCACGCCUUUAAUCCCAGCACUUGGAGGCAGAGGUAGGAAGGUUGCCAUGAGUUUGAGACCACUCUGAGACUACAGAG